GGCUCCCAACUAUGUGGCUCCUGCCCUCAAGAAGUAUAGUCUAGUUGUGGAGGAAAGAUAUCAGCACAACUAACUGAGAUACAAGGAAGCAGUGAAGAGAAUCCCAAGAGAGAUACAUAGGAGUUUGAAGAAAAAUUUACACCUGAGAAAGCAGGAUUCUUUCAUAGGGCAGAAGUAGUUUGACCUGGACCUUAAAUUAGGUUUUGGGUUGGAUUUAAAGAAUCCACAUUGAAGAAGAGUAUUCCUAGUGGGAAGAAUAGCAUUAGAAAAUUUACAGAGAUACCAAAAUAUUAGAUGUUUUUUGGAACUCUGAAACGAUUUCAUGUUUCCAGAAUACCAAGAGUUGGGGGUGUGGGAGGGGAGGCAGGAGAAGGAAGAUUUCAUGAGAAAUGAGAUUGGGACCAGACUGUGGAGGAUUUUGAGGGCUGAGAAGUUUUACUUCAUUCUAGAAAUAAUGAGGAACGACUGAGCAUUUGUUUGCCUGCAGUUUGCUUCAGUGACUGAAUAGUGAGGGAGCUGAAGAGUGAUUAAGCAGACUUGGGUCCAGAGUGAAUUCAAGUCUGAUUGCCUCUGGAGGGUGUCUUCCUUCAGCCUUCAUCACUGGAGUGAGGACUGAUAGGUGGCCCAGAAGCCAAGUAAAAUAGUUACAUCAAAGUAUAUGACUAGAUGGAUGUGGGUCCCAUUUCCAGGAAUAUAGCUGCACUAUUCACCAGAAAACUGAACCUGUAUUUUCCCGAAAUGUAGUUUAUGCUUUGUAGUGUAUUAAAUUGUGGAUUAGAAAUACCAACAAUAGCUCCUAACCUGACUUCCUGACUUCCAACUGUAGAAAUGAGCAGUAUCUGUAAAAUCCUCAUCCUGGAAUUCUGCCUACGUCAAAGGUUCCUUGUUUAAGGAUUACGAGGGGAGAAGUGGUUUGGAGUAUUCUGGCUACUGUCACACUUAUUUACAUAUUAAAAGCUGGUCUCUACCUUUU